rnacentral:rRNA from 2 species
AAAUUGAAGAGUUUGAUCAUGGCUCAGAUUGAACGCUGGCGGCAGGCCUAACACAUGCAAGUCGAACGGUAACAGGAAGCAGCUUGCUGCUUUGCUGACGAGUGGCGGACGGGUGAGUAAUGUCUGGGAAACUGCCUGAUGGAGGGGGAUAACUACUGGAAACGGUGGCUAAUACCGCAUAAUGUCGCAAGACCAAAGAGGGGGACCUUCGGGCCUCUUGCCAUCAGAUGUGCCCAGAUGGGAUUAGCUUGUUGGUGAGGUAACGGCUCACCAAGGCGACGAUCCCUAGCUGGUCUGAGAGGAUGACCAGCCACACUGGAACUGAGACACGGUCCAGACUCCUACGGGAGGCAGCAGUGGGGGAUAUUGCACAAUGGGCGCAAGCCUGAUGCAGCCAUGCCGCGUGUAUGAAGAAGGCCUUCGGGUUGUAAAGUACUUUCAGCGGGGAGGAAGGUGUUGUGGUUAAUAACC